UAUUUUACUUACUCCGUGAAUC
rnacentral:snRNA from 1 species